rnacentral:rRNA from 1 species
UGCAGUCGAACGAUGAUGCCAGCUUGCUGGUGGAUUAGUGGCGAACGGGUGAGUAACACGUGAGUAACCUGCCCUUAACUCUGGGAUAAGCCUGGGAAACUGGGUCUAAUACCGGAUAUGACUCCUCAUCGCAUGGUGGGGGGUGUAAAGCUUUUUGUGGUUUUGGAUGGACUCGCGGCCUAUCAGCUUGUUGGUGAGGUAAUGGCUCACCAAGGCGACGACGGGUAGCCGGCCUGAGAGGGUGACCGGCCACACUGGGACUGAGACACGGCCCAGACUCCUACGGGAGGCAGCAGUGGGGAAUAUUGCACAAUGGGCGAAAGCCUGAUGCAGCGACGCCGCGUGAGGGAUGACGGCCUUCGGGUUGUAAACCUCUUUCAGUAGGGAAGAAGCGAAAGUGACGGUACCUGCAGAAGAAGCGCCGGCUAACUACGUGCCAGCAGCCGCGGUAAUACGUAGGGCGCAAGCGUUAUCCGGAAUUAUUGGGCGUAAAGAGCUCGUAGGCGGUUUGUCGCGUCUGCCGUGAAAGUCCGGGGCUCAACUCCGGAUCUGCGGUGGGUACGGGCAGACUAGAGUGAUGUAGGGGAGACUGGAAUUCCUGGUGUAGCGGUGAAAUGCGCAGAUAUCAGGAGGAACACCGAUGGCGAAGGCAGGUCUCUGGGCAUUAACUGACGCUGAGGAGCGAAAGCAUGGGGAGCGAACAGGAUUAGAUACCCUGGUAGUCCAUGCCGUAAACGUUGGGCACUAGGUGUGGGGGACAUUUCCACGUUUUCCGCGCCGUAGCUAACGCAUUAAGUGCCCCGCCUGGGGAGUACGGCCGCAAGGCUAAAACUCAAAGGAAUUGACGGGGGCCCGCACAAGCGGCGGAGCAUGCGGAUUAAUUCGAUGCAACGCGAAGAACCUUACCAAGGCUUGACAUGAACCGGUAAUACCUGGAAACAGGUGCCCCGCUUGCGGUCGGUUUACAGGUGGUGCAUGGUUGUCGUCAGCUCGUGUCGUGAGAUGUUGGGUUAAGUCCCGCAACGAGCGCAACCCUCGUUCUAUGUUGCCAGCACGUUAUGGUGGGGACUCAUAGGAGACUGCCGGGGUCAACUCGGAGGAAGGUGGGGACGACGUCAAAUCAUCAUGCCCCUUAUGUCUUGGGCUUCACGCAUGCUACAAUGGCCGGUACAAAGGGUUGCGAUACUGUGAGGUGGAGCUAAUCCCAAAAAGCCGGUCUCAGUUCGGAUUGGGGUCUGCAACUCGACCCCAUGAAGUCGGAGUCGCUAGUAAUCGCAGAUCAGCAACGCUGCGGUGAAUACGUUCCCGGGCCUUGUACACACCGCCCGUCA